CCCCAGAUGUUGCUGAACUACAACUCCCAUGAUUCCUUGGCUGUUUCAUUGAAAGAAUCAUGGGAGUUGUAGUUCAGCAACAUCUGGGG
rnacentral:miRNA from 1 species